UAACUGAAGAGUUUGAUCAUGGCUCAGAUUGAACGCUGGCGGCAGGCUUAACACAUGCAAGUCGAGCGGGGGGAGG
rnacentral:rRNA from 1 species